UCUUUCUGUUUUCCCCUCAAAACGUAUAAAUCUUUCGCCUUUUGCUACGGGUUUGUGUGGAGGGUAACAAUAUUUUGAGUGAUUGUACUUUUGGAAACUCUACUGUUCAGUAGAGC